UUUAAAGCCAGGGACCAUGCUUAGCCUUCAUUGAUGUAAGAGUGAUCAGACCUUUUGCUAGCACUGUUGCACAGCCUGUACCAGAUUAACCAGAGCUGCUGCUUCUCCCAGUGAGGCUCUUUGGCUCUGGAAUAUUUGCAGAUCAGACCCUACUGUGAAUGCAAAUGAGACUAUGCAAGUUGGAUCCACGAGUAGGAAAUGUAAAGAUACAUGCCUAAGUCAGGAAGACUGAAUAACUGGCAUUCAGGAGCCCACAGGAUGGUGUCUUAGUGACAGAACAGAAAAAGAAAAUGAAAAUAAUACACAAUCUCUUUCAACUCUGAAGUGGCUGGCUGCACAAUCCCACUUCAAAUGGGUCAUCCCAGAGCCCAGGCUGUCAGGUGAGCUCAUGGUUACAGACAGGCUGAGAAAGAUUUGCCUUCCUUGAUGCUUUUUGCUCUCACCUGAAAUGUCAGCUCUCCUUCUCCAUAUAGCCCUCCCCAGCUUAGCUCUGUACUGACACUGCAAUAGAUAGCAGCUCUGAGAACUGCUUCUUGGUUGCUCAGGUGCUUGACUGUGUAUUUAAAUAACUGAUCUUAAGCAGCUACCUUUAAAAUAAAUGAAAUUCAGGUGAGAGCCAUAAGUAAUGUUUGGGAGAGAACCACAGGGAUCCUUUCUUUGGUGUUAAUUCUGCAAUGCAUAAGUUAAAUUUACAGGAAAAAAAAAAAGGCUAGCCCGAAGUUCAAUGGUACCAUCAUUUUCCUUAUGGUUGCUUCAUUUUGAGCACGUCUCAGUACAAUGUAGAUUUUAUUAUAUUGAAGACUGGAAUUGUCCAAUCCUUAUUGCAUGGAACUGCAUACCAGGAUUUCUACUGUAUUUGAAGGACAGAUGGAAAAUAGUGACGUGACAGGACAACAAAACCAUAGGUACUGAGAGGAGGAAGGAUUAGUGCACCUUACUUUGCUUUUCUUCUACUAGCAUGUUAAACUCUAGUGCCUGAAUGAAUUUGGAAAAGAUUGUCUUUUGUUGAAAGCUCAAACCUACCUGCUGCUUUCAUUGUUGUAUAACUUAUCAUCUGAAAACCCUGAAACUGAGAUGUGACAUUGAUAUUUCAAAUGUUAAAAAAAAAAACAAUACCCAAACAGAAUGUCCUAAAUAAACCAUAUUGAGCAAAACA
rnacentral:lncRNA from 1 species